GAGGCCUGCCGGAGAAACAGAGAGCCUCAGACCUGUUCGGCUUGGGCCUGGACUCCAGGCCCUUCCCAUGGACACAGGGUCCUGCCCUGGGCUCAGGCCGUGGUCCCAGCUCUCUCAGUGCAGGCUGACUCAUCAACCUCCGUAGCAGGCCUUCCAACACGGCCCGCCCCUGAAGCUGUGGGCCCCAGAUACACAAGUGGAGACAGGAGGCUUCCUUUGCUGAGAAAUUCCCUUUCCCAAAAGAGUCUCUGUAUUCCGAACUCCACUGCUAUACAUCUGAGGAUGGCCUUGGGCGCCCAAUCCUCUUGCCUCCACCACCCAAAUGCCGGCAUUACAAAAGUGGACCACCAUGGUUGACCCUUGGAAAAAAUAUAUAUUUGUACCUACAUAUAUUUGAUAUUGGGAAUUAAACCUAAGGUCUUACUAAGAACGACUCUAUCGUUAAAUAUACAAUCUACUGUGUGUGUGUGUGUGUGUGUGUGUGUGUGUGUGUGUGUGU